GUUUCAUAAAUAGAGUAUGAUCUGUAUUACUUUGAUAGUAUUCAAAAGAUAUCAUAGCCUUACUAAAUCUAUCAAACUAUGCUCUAGGUGACUAUUUUAGAACAUACAACCUGUAAACUUUCCCUUUGGUUUUGUUAUCAUCAAAUCCUGGAGGAAUCUCCAUAUGCACUUCAUCUUAAGUCUUCAUGCACAAAAAGCAUUUUUUACAUCAAAUUGCUGUGGGUCCCAUUCAAGAUUUGCUGCACAUAAGGCUCAGAUUCUCUAAAGGU
rnacentral:misc_RNA from 1 species